ensembl:lncRNA
GUUAACUGUAAGAAAGCUGGGCAUUGAGGGUUUCCUAUAAGACAUAGAGAAGGGAGGAGGUCCAUAGAGAGGACUAAGAGUAGCUGGGUUCCCUAUAAGAUGUAAUGGAGGAGGUCCAUAGAGAGGACUAAGAGUAGCUGGGUUCCCUAUAAGAUGUAAUGGAGGAGGUCCAUAGACAGGACUAAGAGUAGCUGGGUUCCCUAUAAGAUGUAAUGGAGGAGGUACAUAGUACAUAGUCUCAGUCAGGGCUCAACUCCUGCUUCUGUCCCCUGUGUUUUAGUGGAAGAGAGGGGUGCUGAGGGGUCUGAGGUUAGGGUGUAAUACAUUUUGAGCAGGCCCUAUUUGGAGGGAUUCUGAGGUCGGGUGAGGAUAAGG